CUCGCUUCAGCCACGCCUGCUAAAAUUGGAACAAUGCAGAGAGAUUAGCAUUGCCUUUGUGCAAGGAUGACAUGCAAAUUCAUGAAGUGUUCCACAUUGUU
ensembl:snRNA U6 U6 spliceosomal RNA